GCGGAGUCAGCCACUCACCCACGCGCCGCUCGAUUUCCUGGAUUUAGUGAGUGGUCUUUGUUGGAGCUGAAAGGCUGCAGCUGGGGUGGAGGACACAAGUUCACCAGGGGUUAUUUAGCUCCAGACAGUCUUCAUAAAAGCACAACAGCUGUCCAGGAAGACACCCAAACUCUCCAGCUUCUGUUCCCAGGAAACCCCACCUCAUGGAUACUGCCUUCUGCACCUGAGAGCUGGAAUGCCUGUCCCAAGCUGCUGGCAGGAGCACAAAGCUUGUGAGAGCUCCAUGAAUCCAAGCUCUACAUGAAGCUUAAGGGGGGCUUUAAGGCCUCCUUCCCUGGGAGUGAGGAGUUGGAGCAGACAGCUGUUCUCUUUCAUUUCAGAGUAAUCAACUAAAAACCAGUUCUGGA